GGAAUAUGGAUUGGCAUUG
rnacentral:snRNA from 1 species